AAUAGAUACCCGGGUAGUCCACGCCGUAAACGAUGAGUGCUAAGUGUUAGAGGGUUUCCGCCCUUUAGUGCUGCAGCUAACGCAUUAAGCACUCCGCCUGGGGAGUACGGCCGCAAGGCUGAAACUCAAAGGAAUUGACGGGGGGCCCGCACAAGCGGUGGAGCAUGUGGUUUAAUUCGAAGCAACGCGAAGAACCUUACCAGGUCUUGACAUCCUCUGCCAACCCUAGAGAUAGGGCGUUCCCCUUCGGGGGACAGAGUGACAGGUGGUGCAUGGUUGUCGUCAGCUCGUGUCGUGAGAUGUUGGGUUAAGUCCCGCAACGAGCGCAACCCUUGAUCUUAGUUGCCAGCAUUUAGUUGGGCACUCUAAGGUGACUGCCGGUGACAAACCGGAGGAAGGUGGGGAUGACGUCAAAUCAUCAUGCCCCUUAUGACCUGGGCUACACACGUGCUACAAUGGAUGGUACAAAGAGCUGCGAACCCGCGAGGGUAAGCCAAUCUCAUAAAGCCAUUCUCAGUUCGGAUUGUAGGCUG
rnacentral:rRNA from 1 species